AAAAAAAUCCUCUCCCAUAGAAAAUAUCAACAUCAGACCAGCAAAAUAAGUAUGACCUAAACAUUAAUGGGUCUCUUUCUUGGCCUUUCGUUCUGAUAUAUACUGUAUAUCUUUGAACUUAUUGUUAGCAUAAACAUCAAAUGGCAUUCCGCACAGGAGUAAUCUAAGGAACGCCCACUGCGGUUUCAAACCUACAACGUCCUGUUAGAAAGUCGUACAUACGCUACAUGUGACAUAUCUUCAAAAAACAUAUAAAUUUAUGCGAAAUUAAUAUAAAACUACAAAUUAAUAAUAGAAAUGAAACCCAAAAAAAAAGCUGUAAUCUCUAGGAGCGUCCCGACUGAGAUUUGAACCCGCGGUCUCUGCUUUGAAAAGCAAACGCCUUAGUAACAAGUCCACAACGUGCCUUGACAAUUGGCUCUAAAUUCGGCUUCAGUUAGCUUUCGCUAUGUGUCACUCAUUCGUUUUGAUGAUUCUAUUCAAUAAAAGAAAUAGUUUGCAGUAAGUUGACUGACAGGCCCCUGUCAAUGGUUGAAGGGCAAAACGUGAGAUAGAUGUAUGUGAUGACAAGACUGUACUGCUUUCGAUGAUUGUCAAACCGCUUUACCUAAAAUUAGUAUAGCUAUCAUUCAUUCAAUAUACGACCAUACAUGUAUGCUUUAAACGUCUAUUUUUCCAUAUUGUUCAGAUAUAUUUGACACGAUGACCGCUUAGAUACCAGUGGUUUUUCGACAGCUAAGGUAUCAAUGAUUUGUUGUAAGUGUAGAAAUUAAUGAAUAGCGACUGUUAAGAUAUUUGUGACAUGUUGAGCGCUCACAAGUAAAUGCUACCAUGACAGUCAACAACUUUUUGACAGUUUAAACGUUUACCUCUCUUUGAGCACCUGGAGUGUAUAGCGACUUCUGCUGCUGACUGUAGUAAUAUCAUAGAGUUAGUCCAAGAAAAGUUUGCAGCGAUUUUGAUAGUCCACGCAGUGCAAG